UAUCGACAGAGUGUGAGUAGCUCCGCUAGCAUUAAAGGUACCCUGAGGAAGAGAGAGGUGCUGCUGUACAUGGCCUUCUGUUUGCUUGGAUUACGAUCAGACGAGAUUGAUUAGGAAUUUUAGCAUUAACACCAGUUGUGUUUAAGGACGGACUUUUACCUCACCUCAUCUCAUCACAGAACUCCAGAGUGGCUGUUCCUGUGUUUCUUGGAUAUUGUACUGUGACUCGUGGACUAUCAACUUCUUAUUGGGCUGAGGCCUAGAUGAAGACAGCCAAUGGCGUGGUGGAGUGAGUGCCAAGGGGGAAGGGGGGUCAGUACGCCCCGUAUCUCACUACCUGGGGUGGUUCUUCUCCUGCUGGGGACUGCUGGACUUAUCUCUCAACUCGUCAGUGCAGGAUCAGGCUGUAUAGAUGGACGUGGGGAUGGACUGCGACGUCACAAGCGGGUGUCAGCAUGUAUGGGGCGGUGGAACGGACACAUUCAGAACAGCAGUUCGUUGUGUGCGCCUGGUUGGAGGGUGUGUUCCUGGUACGAUGGCGAACUCCUCCGGAACAUUUCAUGGAGGGACGCCAUGUCUGUGGGCGGGUGUUAUGCUUUCAAUGCAGCCCAAGAUGGAGGAAGAUGUCGGGAGUGCCGAGAUGACCUGGAGCAGGACGACCUCGCAGGCAUCGGACGAGGAUGUGCCCAUCAGAACCUGGGCCAAACGUCAUGCAUCAGCGGUGGCCGCAUCGAUGCCAGCUGCUGCGUUGACGCCCACUUCCACCGCGCAUGUCAAUACCAACCAGGCCUGGCUACCGGGAUUCUCUGCUGCAAGAUGCCAGUAAAACGUCCCAAGAUCGCGGUGAAGCCCCCAGAGAAGAUGUACGUGUACACGGGGCUUAUCUUCCUGUUGACAUGUCAGGCCACAGGCAUGCCGCCUCCAAGGGUGCAGUGGUACAAGGACGGGGUCCAGAUGGCCAAGAACAACCAACGCAUCUCUGUGCUGUCUUCAGGAGACCUGUUGGUGACACUGGCCAAGAAGUCGGACACUGGGCUGUACACCUGUGAGGUCAUCAACGAGGAAGGCAUUGACAUGGCCAGCUCCUACGUCGUGGUGUCGGAAUAUUCCUCUGGCUGUGCUGACGGCACCACAGAAGGCCUGCACAUGCACCGAGAUGUACAUGCAUGUGCCGGCGAGUGGAAAGGUCAUGUGAAGAAUGGGAAGAGUCUAUGUCAGAAUGGAUGGAGGGUGUGUAAGCCACAGGACCAGUCUAUUCUACAGGAGUUGACGUGGCUGGACAUAUUUGACCUUGGAGGAUGCUACGCUUACAAUGCUGCUAAUAGCAAGGGGAGGUGCAAGAGGUGUACCAAAAACAAGAUGGCAGGAAUUGGACGGCAGUGUGGGUGGCUCAGAUACUCCCAACACUCCUGUCUGUUUCACGGCAGAAUUGACGUAUUUCACCCCAAAAACAACACAGGCUGUGUGUACAAGGAGAACUACACGUCCGGGGUUGUUUGCUGCAAGAAGAAAAAACGAAGACGGCCUGCCUCCAAGAAGCCUGUGUGCAGCCCGACCUGUGAGAACCAAGGCCAGUGUGUGGCCAACAACCGAUGUCAGUGUUCCAUCGGAUACAAGGGGGCUCGCUGCCAGAACCCCAUCUGCAGUCCGGGGUGUGGGACCAAGGGCCGGUGUGUUUCCCCCAACAAGUGCAAGUGUCAUACAGGCUACAUGGGCAAGUUCUGUCGCAAGAAGGUCAUCAAGUGUCAUAAGCCAUGUUUGCAUGGUGGCCGAUGUUCGAGGGGGAAGUGUCGAUGCCCUCCAACACACUGGGGAAAUUCCUGUCAAUAUCUGCUUCAGCAUAUUCUCCUGUCUAAACUGAACCGCACGGAGAGAUGAGAAGCCGGACAAGGAUGCCUGGAUUUACCCCCUCACUGCCACAGGUGUACAGAAGCACGGCGACUGGGACGGAGGACAGACGUGGAGGAGGCCAACUUGGCCCACACUGAUGAUGAAGUAGUUGUUGUUUCUCAAGGAAGGCUCUUGUGUAUAUUGUUGUUUCAUUGUAAAUUGUGAAAACUGUACAUAGACCUGUUGACUAUUUAUAAAGAAAUAUGUUUACCACAUGAUGUAUAUAAUGUUUUAUUAUUUCUACAGUCAUUGCAAAUGGCCCAUCUAUACACACUGUGCUAAUGUAUUUGAAAUCCGCUGUCUACGUGUAGUUUCAUACCAGUGACUAAGAAGGCAUUUGGUAGAUCGUUGAGGCAUUAACAUGUCAGUAACCUAGUUGCUUACUCUCGUAUAUCUUUGGUGUUUUUGACAUGCUACUCAAAUAUUGUAAAGGACAUGUCUGAUCACUGUUGAUGCGAAGUCAAAGAUGUGAGAAACAUAAGAAUGCAAAUUGGAAUAUUUUCUGUACGCUUGGUCCACAAGCUAUAUGUCACCAGUUGAUUGUCCUCAUACAUGCAACGUGGCCUGGUACAAGAUGGCUGCCAGAACGUCUCUGACAAGUCAACAUUAAAGGUGGUCAAGUCUAAGCUGGGAGCUCAUUAUCCUUCAGCAUUCGACAACCAAUAUCCUCAGUUGAGCAAGGAGCUGGACUAGAAGUUGCAUACUGUUCAGAUUAGAUUCUGCAGUACUGUUCAGACUAGAAGUUGCAGUACUGUUCAGACUAGAAGUUGCAGUACUGUUCAGACUAGAAGUUGCAGUACUGUUCAGAUUAGAAGUUGCAGUACUGUUCAGACUAGAUUCUGCAGUACUGUCCAUGGGGAGAAUCUUGGCAACACAAAUUUGAUAUCUGCAGUAAAGUAGAUGAUACUAAAUACAAUUAAGUGAAACUGAAACUUAGCCCCAAACAAUUCUCCAUGGUUGAAUUACAUUUUUGCAUCCUGAUUUAUAUUUAAAUCCUCCUUUGAAAUCGCUACAUAAUAUACGACAGCCCCCUGCCUUUCAUCAGGCUCACUCGUCUUGGUUUAGAAACACUGGACUCAACAUGCUUGUUCUUCUAUAUUUAAACAUUUAGGGCAGUUACUGGCAACUCUGGUACAUUGUGUAACUUGAAUUGUUGGUUUUUUCAGUGUUGUGUAUUGCAUUUUGUAAUAUUUCAUUGUUUUAGUCUCAGUGCACAUUUUACAUUUUCAGGCUUUUCUACCCUGAUUAUUGUCUGUGUGUAGAGAUGAUAUGUUACCAUUAUAGUAUACUAUGUGAUAAUAUGACUUAUUGUGUGUAGAGAUGAUAUGUUACCAUUAUAGUAUACUAUGUGAUAAUAUGACUUAUUGUGUGUAGAGAUGGUAUGUUACCAUUAUAGUAUACUAUGUGAUAAUAUGACUUAAUGUAAUCAUAAUGAAUAACUACACUGGUUAGAUGAUACGAUAAACUGUUUCUGACUAGCUACACUGUAGGUGAUGCUUUAGACCAAUGACACUGAUGUACUAUCAAGUAUUACAUAGUAGACCACUAACAAUAUGUUAUAUGCACUGAGACGUUGUCCACAAUGUUGCCCGGAUGUUGUGAAGUGCAGGAACCAGUGAUGCCCCACUUCUCACACACUUCCCCGUAGUUUCCAACUUCAAGUUCCAUGUACCUUAUAUGUCUCAGGAAACAAUUCAUGCAAGAUAUUAUGGGUAUCAGUUUCCCAGUCACACACAAGACACUUGAAAACAAAACACUGAUAGACUAUUGUAUAGAGCUGACUUACAGAUUGCUUCAUUCUUCGAGCUCACAUGUAGUGAUAGUUUGAAACAUUAAAGAGUCUCUUGAUCUAUUUUGUUGUAUUGAUUUGUAUUGCAAUCUUGAUACUCAUGAAUUUCAUUAAUUCAUUUUGUUUAAUUAUUUGUACUGAAGAAUCAUAUAAAAACGUCUACAUAAGAUAAAACCGAGGUUCCAAAAGCUUUUCAUUUGUCCAUGAAGAUUAAAUUGUUUUGGUUUGUAAUCCUAGAUUGUUAUUGGCCUGAACUGCUUGUAGACUUGUAGUGUACAAACUACCUCAGACUAGUCUCGUGUCCUGUGUACAUACGUCAUAUACCACACUGUAUGUUGUCGCUAACACUUGUAGCCACUGCUCACCUCCCAGGGACAUCAACAUCCUUCAUCUUUAUUCUCACUUUGCACUUUCCUAACUGGCAUAAACAAAUUGUCAAGUUAUAAUGUUUCCUUAGCAACACAGAAAGCUGAUCAAGUGUCAUGGAGACACUGUUGAUGUAACAGUAUUGGUAUUUGAUGUUUUUGGAUUAGAAUAUGCUCCUUCAAUGUCCGAUAUUUAGUUCAUUUUCUGCACCAAAUCCGUUGUGAUCACACCAGUACAUCACCAUCCUGUAGGAAUAUGGGUUGUUUUGAGGGUUUGUCUUCAAUGACACUUGUAUUUCAGGAUUCUGUCCCACCAGACCCACCGUUAAUCCCAGUAUUUCCAUUGUCUCUUGGAGGAAUUUGUCUUCUCAGUCCCCAUGUGUAACAAAACAUAAACAAAAUCCUUGUCUUCAUCCAAUGAGAAAGGGCUUUUCUAAGUUGGAUAACUUGUGCCCAAUCCAAUGAAUUCAUGAAGAGGAAAUAUUUCUUUCUAGAAACCUGUUUUUGUUUAAUCUGUCAGUCCAGUAUCUCUUUACCAUUAUAACCAUACAACUGUAUUUCAUAAUUUGAAAA
rnacentral:misc_RNA from 1 species